ensembl:snoRNA Gm25200 predicted gene, 25200
GUCCUCCUCAUGUCCACCACAGGCUUUGUUCUUAUGCUGACUGUGGAUUUGAAAGGAGACAGAGCAAUCCUGCCCCCAUUCACCUAAGCCCAGGCCAUUGUGCCUAGUCUGUAUUGUGAGUGGGGAUCCAUGG